GGCUUAUGGGUGGGUACAGAUUGAAAUUUACUGAUCAGAUAUUAGAUCAAGUCACGCAUAGGUCAGAUUUUAUAUAUGGUUGCCCUUGACUUCUUAAAGGAGAUCUCCAAAUACAAAAGACAUAAAUGAGUUUGAUAAGAUUCAUUUCAAUGUAAUUAUGUAAAUGGCCACAAUGAAUGAUUUUUUUUUUUUAAAUAAACUACGAAGGGGA
rnacentral:lncRNA from 1 species